UCCGUAGGUGAACCUGCGGAGGGAUCAUUACCGAGUUUACAACUCCCAAACCCAAUGUGAACGUUACCAAACUGUUGCCUCGGCGGGAUCUCUGCCCCGGGUGCGUCGCAGCCCCGGACCAAGGCGCCCGCCGGAGGACCAACCAAAACUCUUAUUGUAUACCCCCUCGCGGGUUUUUUUUAUAAUCUGAGCCUUCUCGGCGCCUCUCGUAGGCGUUUCGAAAAUGAAUCGAAACUUUCAACAACGGAUCUCUUGGUUCUGGCAUCGGUGAAGAACGCAGCGAAAUGCGAUAAGUAAUGUGAAUUGCAGAAUUCAGUGAAUCAUCGAAUCUUUGAACGCACAUUGCGCCCGCCAGUAUUCUGGCGGGCAUGCCUGUCCGAGCGUCAUUUCAACCCUCGAACCCCUCCGGGGGGUCGGCGUUGGGGAUCGGCCCUGCCUUGGCGGUGGCCGUCUCCGAAAUACAGUGGCGGUCUCGCCGCAGCCUCUCCUGCGCAGUAGUUUGCACACUCGCAUCGGGAGCGCGGCGCGUCCACAGCCGUUAAACACCCAACUUCUGAAAUGUUGACCUCGGAUCAGGUAGGAAUACCCGCUGAACUUAAGCAUAUCAAUAAGCGGAGGA
rnacentral:rRNA from 1 species